GAUCAUGGCUCAGAUUGAACGCUGGCGGCAGGCCUAACACAUGCAAGUCGAACGGUAACAGGAAGCAGCUUGCUGCUUUGCUGACGAGUGGCGGACGGGUGAGUAAUGUCUGGGAAACUGCCUGAUGGAGGGGGAUAACUACUGGAAACGGUGGCUAAUACCGCAUAACGUCGCAAGACCAAAGAGGGGGACCUUCGGGCCUCUUGCCAUCAGAUGUGCCCAGAUGGGAUUAGCUUGUUGGUGAGGUAACGGCUCACCAAGGCGACGAUCCCUAGCUGGUCUGAGAGGAUGACCAGCCACACUGGAACUGAGACACGGUCCAGACUCCUACGGGAGGCAGCAGUGGGGAAUAUUGCACAAUGGGCGCAAGCCUGAUGCAGCCAUGCCGCGUGUAUGAAGAAGGCCUUCGGGUUGUAAAGUACUUUCAGCGGGGAGGAAGGUGUUGUGGUUAAUAACCGCAGCAAUUGACGUUACCCGCAGAAGAAGCACCGGCUAACUCCGUGCCAGCAGCCGCGGUAAUACGGAGGGUGCAAGCGUUAAUCGGAAUUACUGGGCGUAAAGCGCACGCAGGCGGUCUGUCAAGUCGGAUGUGAAAUCCCCGGGCUCAACCUGGGAACUGCAUUCGAAACUGGCAGGCUUGAGUCUUGUAGAGGGGGGUAGAAUUCCAGGUGUAGCGGUGAAAUGCGUAGAGAUCUGGAGGAAUACCGGUGGCGAAGGCGGCCCCCUGGACAAAGACUGACGCUCAGGUGCGAAAGCGUGGGGAGCAAACAGGAUUAGAUACCCUGGUAGUCCACGCCGUAAACGAUGUCUACUUGGAGGUUGUGCCCUUGAGGCGUGGCUUCCGGAGCUAACGCGUUAAGUAGACCGCCUGGGGAGUACGGCCGCAAGGUUAAAACUCAAAUGAAUUGACGGGGGCCCGCACAAGCGGUGGAGCAUGUGGUUUAAUUCGAUGCAACGCGAAGAACCUUACCUGGUCUUGACAUCCACAGAAGUUUUCAGAGAUGGAUUUGUGCCUUCGGGAACUGUGAGACAGGUGCUGCAUGGCUGUCGUCAGCUCGUGUUGUGAAAUGUUGGGUUAAGUCCCGCAACGAGCGCAACCCUUAUCCUUUGUUGCCAGCGAUUAGGUCGGGAACUCAAAGGAGACUGCCAGUGAUAAACUGGAGGAAGGUGGGGAUGACGUCAAGUCAUCAUGGCCCUUACGACCAGGGCUACACACGUGCUACAAUGGCGCAUACAAAGAGAAGCGACCUCGCGAGAGCAAGCGGACCUCAUAAAGUGCGUCGUAGUCCGGAUUGGAGUCUGCAACUCGACUCCAUGAAGUCGGAAUCGCUAGUAAUCGUGGAUCAGAAUGCCACGGUGAAUACGUUCCCGGGCCUUGUACACACCGCCCGUCACACCAUGGGAGUGGGUUGCAAAAGAAGUAGGUAGCUUAACCUUCGGGAGGGCGCUUACCACUUUGUGAUUCAUGACUGGGGUGAAGUCGUAACAAGGUAACCGUAGGGGAACCUGCGGUUGGAUCACCUCCUUACCUUAAAGAAGC
rnacentral:rRNA from 1 species